CCUGCUCUCUCCCUUCUCACGCUGUUAGUCCACACCAGCAGCUCUGUGUAAGAAUCAAAGGAUUUGAGCUGCAUCAUGAAGACCAGACCCAUUGAUUUCUAUUGGCUGGUGGGCAGACUAGAUUGGGACACAAGCAUGCGCAGAAUGUUUAAAAAGGUUGUAACGCAACUCCUGUGUGCCCAAGGAAGCGGGGAGAGUACAGUAAGGAAUUUUGGUGACGUCACCCAGCUAUGAGACUGGGCUUGUGCUGGCAGUGGAUUUGCAUGUGAAAGAAUAUGGAGAGACUGGAUUCACUCUGUGCACAGGUUAAAAUGUCAUUUGUUAAAGGCAUCAAAAAAGUUGUUUAGGCUUGAUGAUGUCACGGCAUGAUGACGUCUGUGUGUGGCCCUGGAUGCCACCAUCUUGAUUAUGAAGCAACAGAGCGCUCCUGACACAAACAUUGAAAAAUAAACAU